UCCUCAUCAAUAUCAUCAGGCACAUUAUAGCUUCGGCCUAAAGUCUCUUGAAUUUCAUUACUCAUAUCCAUCAUAUCCAUCAUUUCAUCUUGCAAGUUCUACAAGUAAAAAUAAGAAAAUAUCACUAGAAAAUAAAUAC